rnacentral:tRNA from 1 species
GUUAGGGUGGCAGACCCGUAAAUGCAAAAGGCCUAAGCCCUUUGUACAGAGGUUCAAAUCCUCUCCCCAACA